rnacentral:rRNA from 1 species
UGGGGAAUUUUGGACAAUGGGCGAAAGCCUGAUCCAGCAAUGCCGCGUGUGUGAAGAAGGCCUUCGGGUUGUAAAGCACUUUUGUCCGGAAAGAAAUCCUUGGCUCUAAUACAGUCGGGGGAUGACGGUACCGGAAGAAUAAGCACCGGCUAACUACGUGCCAGCAGCCGCGGUAAUACGUAGGGUGCAAGCGUUAAUCGGAAUUACUGGGCGUAAAGCGUGCGCAGGCGGUUUGCUAAGACCGAUGUGAAAUCCCCGGGCUCAACCUGGGAACUGCAUUGGUGACUGGCAGGCUAGAGUAUGGCAGAGGGGGGUUAGAAUUCCACGUGUAGCAGUGAAAUGCGUAGAGAUGUGGAGGAAUACCGAUGGCGAAGGCAGCCCCCUGGGCCAAUACUGACGCUCAUGCACGAAAGCGUGGGGAGCAAACAGGAUUAGAUACCCUGGUAGUCCACGCCCUAAACGAUGUCAACUAGUUGUUGGGGACUUCAUUUUCCUUAGUAACGUAGCUAACGCGUGAAGUUGACCGCCUGGGGAGUACGGUCGCAAGAUU